rnacentral:piRNA from 1 species
UGUGAUUGUGAUUUCCGAAUU